rnacentral:lncRNA from 1 species
UUUUCUUUCUGUUUAUACAGUAUAUGCUGUCUUCAUAUUGCAUAUAAAGUACCCAUGUGUAUUCCAUUUCUGGCAGGAAAGCCGCAUGCAAGGAUAUUUAUUGGAGGACUGCUGGGAAUUUUCCUAGCUCUGGUAGACGAGACUGCUGGCAGAGUUGACCUUAACAGAGACAUGGACCUGCUUUUCAAAGGUCUCUACGGACACGCAGCUGUCAGUCAAUUCAACAGGGAUUUCCAGAAUUUCAUGUGUAUUCUGAGUGGCAAUAUUAAAGUUAGUGAAAACCUUGCUUACUUCUGUCUCUAAAAUAAAGCAUAUGUUUUCUAUGGGGAGAUGGAUGCA